rnacentral:rRNA from 1 species
CUCUCAGACGAACGCUGGCGGCGUGCUUUUAUACAUGCAAGUCGAGCGGACAGAUGGGAGCUUGCUCCCUGAUGUUAGCGGCGGACGGGUGAGUAACACGUGGGUAACCCGCCUGUAAGGACUGGGAUAACUCCGGGAAACCGGGGCUAAUACCGGAUGGUUGUUGAACCGCAUGGUUCAAACAUAAAAGGUGGCUUCGGCUACCACUUAAAGAUGGACCCCCGGCGCAUUAGCUAGUUGGUGAAGUAACGGCUCACCAAGGCAACCGAUGCGUAGCCGACCUGAGAGGGGUGAUUGGCCACACUGGGAAUGAGACACGGCCCAGACUCCUACGGGGAGGCAGGCGUAGGGAAUCUUUCCGCAAUGGACGAAAAGUCUGACGGAGCAACGCCGCGUGAGUGAUGAAGGUUUUCGGAUCGUAAAGCUCUGUUUGUUAGGGAAGAACAAGUACCCGUUCGAAUAGGGCGGUACCUUGACGGUACCUAACCAGAAAGCCACGGCUAACUACGUGCCAGCAGCCGCGGUAAUACGUAGGUGGCAAGCGUUGUCCGGAAUUAUUGGGCGUAAAGGGCUCGCAGGCGGUUUCUUAAGUCUGAUGUGAAAGCCCCCGGCUCAACCGGGGAGGGUCAUUGGAAACUGGGGAACUUGAGUGCAGAAGAGGAGAGUGGAAUUCCACGUGUAGCGGUGAAAUGCGUAGAGAUGUGGAGGAACACCAGUGGCGAAGGCGACUCUCUGGUCUGUAAACUGACCGCUGAGGAGCG